rnacentral:lncRNA from 1 species
GUUAUACAGACUGCUGCUGCGCCAGCUGGCUAGGUCCCUCUUGGUUGCAGCUGCAAGGCCGGAUACUCUCUAAGACAAGUGCAGCCGCUUUUGUGACCUCUCUCCAUAGCUGCCAACGACCACUGCCCAACGCUAUGGACUAACUGAAUGUCUGUGCCACCUGCUGGUCAAAGACAGUUACUGCAUCUGGAGUAGAAAUAAGCCAAUGAAGACCUGCCUGACAGCAAUCCCUGGACACCCAAGAAAGAAAAUGGGCCACACCUCCUUGACUGCAUUAGAUCCAACUUUCUCCAUUUCAACUGACACUCUGGCCAGAGGUUCUGGUACUGACUUCAAUCAAGUUGAGGAUUUCAAGCGAGAUCUUCAAUCAAGUGAAUUCCAUCUAACAUGGACUGGAUACAAUCCAUUCAAGACUUUUACUAUACUAACAUUUUCUUCCUACAGGACCCCACAAGGCUAUCGUCAUCCCAUUUAAGCAGGAAGUAACUUGGAGGAUACUACACCCUCUUUCUCCCAGUGUUGUCAUUUAGGAUAAUGUAUAUACCUAGUUAGGGAUAGCUUCCUAUUGUUUAUGGUUUGGGAUUGGAAGGAGGUGUUCUGGCUUGGACACCUCUUUCAGAUGACUUUAGGCUUUAGUUAAAAUAGAUAGUUAGGAUGUGACAUAAGCAGAUUGUUGUAUCUUCUUAUAUUUCACCUUUAUGAUUUUUAAUUUUGGAUACUUUAUACUGUUAAGUUUUAAUCCUCUUUUAGAUUAAAAGGGGAAUUGUAGGAGAG